rnacentral:rRNA from 1 species
GGGAAUAUUGGACAAUGGGGGCAACCCUGAUCCAGCAAUGCCGCGUGGAUGAUGAAGGUCUUCGGAUUGUAAAGUCCUUUCGACGGGGACGAUGAUGACGGUACCCGUAGAAGAAGCCCCGGCUAACUUCGUGCCAGCAGCCGCGGUAAUACGAAGGGGGCUAGCGUUGCUCGGAAUGACUGGGCGUAAAGGGCGCGUAGGCGGUUUGAUUAGUUAGGCGUGAAAUUCCCGGGCUCAACCUGGGAACUGCGUUUAAUACAGUCAGACUUGAGUUCGGAAGAGGGUCGUGGAAUUCCCAGUGUAGAGGUGAAAUUCGUAGAUAUUGGGAAGAACACCGGUGGCGAAGGCGGCGACCUGGUCCGAUACUGACGCUGAGGCGCGAAAGCGUGGGGAGCAAAC